AGUAGGUAGUUGCAGAGAGAUGUAUGGGUUAUAGGUGGGUAGUUGUAGGUGGAUGUAUGGGGUUAUAUGUGGGUAGUUGUAGGUGGAUGUAUGGGGUUAUAGGUGGUAAGUUUUAGGUGGAUGUAUGGGGUUGUAGGUGGGUGGCUGUAGGUGGAUGUAUGGGGUUAUAGGUGGUAAGUUUUAGGUGGAUGUAUGGGGUUGUAGGUGGGUGGCUGUAGGUGGAUGUAUGGGGUUAUAGGUGGUAAGUUUUAGGUGGAUGUAUGGGGUUAUAGGUGGGUAGGUGUCGGUGGAUGUAUGGGGGUUUAGGUGGGUAAUCGUAGGUGGGAUGUAUGAGGGGUAAGUGAUUGGUUGUGGUGGAUGAUGGUAGAGUGUAGUUGAACUGUGUGGGGCUGUUUGGCCAUUCUGCUGGGCGUAGGGGGAUAUUGGCAUUGCACUGUAAAUUAUAUGGGAUUGCUGGACAUAGCAUACAUCUUACACAAGGUCAUGUCACUGGGUGUAGGGUGAUUUGGACUGUUUGGAUAGGAUUGCUGGGUAUGGUGUACUGCUCUCCUCACACGGCUGAGAACCACUCUCUCUCUCUCUUCAGUAAUGUAAUGAGCGCAGAGCCUC
ensembl:lncRNA